AAGUCGUAACAAGGUAACCGUAGGUGAACCUGCGGUUGGAUCAUUAACAAAUCCAAUUAAUACAAACACAUUUGUGAAAUUUUUAAAUAAAGUCAUUUUGGCUUUAUUUGUCUACAGACUCUGUUUAUUUUAGUUGUGUAAUUUUAAUUAUUUAAAUAUAAUAAAAAAUAACUUUUGACAACGGAUCUCUAGGCUCUC
rnacentral:misc_RNA from 1 species